rnacentral:rRNA from 1 species
AUGAUCAGACGGCUGUCAGUGUCAUGGCGUUUACCAAAAUAUAGGCGCGAAGGGGCUUUUGAUUCCUGCUAUAGUUCACAAGUCAACCACCGCGGCAGCCUGCACUGGUUAACAGGAAUCUACACGGAGACUGCCGUGGACAUUAUGGUGUUUGACACAGUAACUGAGACGUUCCGGUGGAUGCGCAGUCCUGACCAGUUGGGCCAACGGUUGUCGUUGUUAGAGAUGGAUGGCAAGCUUGCUUCAUGCAGCAAAAAUGAUGCCUACAUAGAGAUUUGGGUGAUGCAAGACUAUAAGGCUGAGGCCUGGGCCUUGAAGUACCGGAUUAACUUGUUAGCGAUGAAGACAUCACCACUAUUCGACUAUAUUUCUAAGAUGGCACUGCUUAACCAGCGUGAGCUGCUGAUCUGUUGUCACAAUCCAUUGGACAGUCCUGACUAUCUUUUGCACUGUGACAUUGACGGAAAGUUUUUGGGAUAUUACGAAAUUAAAGGGGGAACGUAUUCAGUAUACUUCACUAAUCAGUACUUUCAGGAGAGCAUGAUUCCACUUCCGUAUGGUGAGGUGCAAGAAGAAGGUGGUUUGGAUGAGGAGCCUUCAUUCUUCAUAGGGCUUUAA